rnacentral:rRNA from 1 species
CCUACGGGCGGCAGCAGUGAGGAAUAUUGGUCAAUGGACGAGAGUCUGAACCAGCCAAGUAGCGUGAAGGAUGACUGCCCUAUGGGUUGUAAACUUCUUUUAUAUGGGAAUAAAAUGUUCCACGUGUGGGUUUUUGUAUGUACCAUAUGAAUAAGGAUCGGCUAACUCCGUGCCAGCAGCCGCGGUAAUACGGAGGAUCCGAGCGUUAUCCGGAUUUAUUGGGUUUAAAGGGAGCGUAGGUGGAUUGUUAAGUCAGUUGUGAAAGUUUGCGGCUCAACCGUAAAAUUGCAGUUGAUACUGGCAGUCUUGAGUACAGUAGAGGUGGGCGGAAUUCGUGGUGUAGCGGUGAAAUGCUUAGAUAUCACGAAGAACUCCGAUUGCGAAGGCAGCUCACUGGACUGCAACUGACACUGAGGCUCGAAAGUGUGGGUAUCAAACAGGAUUAGAUACCCCUGUAGUC